CACUACCCACGAAAAUCAGUCUAUAAAUACUGAAGUUUCAGUAGAGGAAAACACACUUGGGGUUACACUGGGAGAUUCACUUGAGAAAAGGGGGGAAGCAAAAUACUCUGAGGUUUCCUUGGAACAAAACCUUGAGGAAAAAGAUAGUGAGAGAAGAACUAACAGAGUUCAGAGCAGCCUCCAAACCCUGAAGGGAACUCAACUGCACAGAAUCACCUCUGCCUCACAUAAACCCUA
rnacentral:lncRNA from 1 species